rnacentral:lncRNA from 1 species
AAAAAAAAAAAAAAAAAAAGACAGAGUAAAUUGAAACAGAAUCCCAAAGAAUUCAGAGGGACAAUUUUGUGAAAACACAUUCUAUUUCACUUUGAGGUUAUUAUAAAAACUGGAGUUUAUGGUUCGGGCAUUAAUGUUGGGGGAAUCUCAGUGUUUUUCUACUGAAUUUUCUCCUGUAAUCUGGAAGUCACCAUUUAAGAUGAUCAUCUUAUCCGUUAAUUAGGGUUGCAAAAGACUUUUCUCUUUUCAAAAGUUCAUGAACACACAACAAAUUGGAGCUACUUGUAUAAGCCCACUGAGCUUUCUGGGAUCUACCUCUGACUGACGUUGGCUCUGUUGAUCUCAGAGUGUUGACAUUUCAGGUAUUGUUGUUUUCAGAGGUUUCCCAGGCAACCACAUCAAUUCAUCUGGUCCCAGGCAAAGUGCCCUUGAACUCCCAGUCGCUUCACUUCCCGGCGUGAGUCACGUGUGUAGCAGGAGAGACACAGACUCUGUGUAGGGGGCUAACGUGAGGGGUGGGGUGAAGAGAGGGACCAUCUCACACAAAACGUCCACUUGGCUGUUGAGACUCCAGCCCGCUGCCGGCAGGGCAAGCUCUCAUUGUAACUCCAGGGGUGGGGCCGUGGGGGGUCCACGGCCAGUGCCCUGUCCUCAUCCUCAAGGCUUCUGGCUCUGCUUCCUUCUGUUCGUGUGCAUCUCCAAAUCCUUCCUGAGGAGCAGGGCAGGGAGCAAUCGGGGUCACUGGUAGUGCAGUUAGAAUAUCCUUUUCCCCUUGUUUUCUUUACCCUGGCUCUUGUCCUCCCCAUUGAUGACUGGUGACGGGCUUGACUGGUGAAUGUGGCCACAGAAUAUACAAUCUGCAAGUCCCACUCAGGAGGCUUCUAACCAUCCUAGGGCUGCGCUCCAUGGCCCACGGGGCUCCCGGAGUCUAGAGCUCUGAACGGUUCAUCCUCCUCAUGCAGAUCCAACCACAGAAGCAGAGCCCCACCCUCCCCACCCUCCCCACCCUCCCCACCCCUCCCCCUCCUUUCCCACUUGGCCCCACCCCCGCCCCCACUCCACCCCCACCAUCCGCUCUCCCACCUGCUAUAUUCUGUUCUGUCUGAUCCACUCACUGGGACAUGAAUAUCCUGUUGAAAUGUGUCUAAGUAAGCACAUUAAAAAAAAAAAAAACUAACCUUCCUGGGUCUAUAAAUAAUUUAAAUAAGGAUGUGCAUCUAAUAACAUAUAUAAUAUGGAAUAUAUAUAUUUAGCUCUCUGAGUAGUUGCUUUAGCUACCAGCCCUUCUACCAGCUGCAAUUACCUCUGUGAUUAUCACUUUGAAUAAUCCGCGGCUUGUUAAAAUUAAUGGAGAGAAAUGUAAUUUUAUAGUAGGAAAUGUAGUUGUCAGGGUGUGAAAUAAUAGUAAUCAGUUUGAAUAAAUAUUUGCUAUUUGUUUUCAUAAAAGUUUAAAUCCUCAAAAGAGAACUCUGACCAAAAUAGGACUAGAGCAGGAUCACGGAAACAGGUGGUAUGAGUCAUACUCUUGGCUUUUAAUUAAAGGAUGCUCUGGCUGUUGGCAUGGACUGCACAGAGGCAGUUUUAGGAUUUCUUAAGCUGGACUCCAGCUGGAGAAUUCUUAAUCAGGGCGGACUUACUCUGAUUGUUUAUCGUCUAUUUGUGCGCUGAUGAGAAGUGGUGAUACGGUGCUGAUACCUCAAUCACGGUUUAAAAAAUUCAAAGAGCAUAUGAAUCCUCGGACCUGGACAGUUCUUCCUGAGCCAGAGGGGUUUUGUGCAAAGCUACUAUGUAGACCAGAGAAUCGGUCUUUUGCUGUUUAGUUUUGUCACCCUAUGUCAAUAGCUGAAUGGAUAUUCUGAAUUAAUAAGCAUAACGUUUGUAUAAGCUAAAGACUAGUCUAAGCUCUGCAUUCGUUGAUGGGAACCUUAAUCAAGUGUUUCUUUUCAUCAGCUUGUUCAAGAGGCUUAAACAUAAUUAUGGUUCUGAGGCCAUGACAUACCAACUGGGUAAAAUUGUAGCUAGCACUGGGACAGGUGACUUAAAGUUUGGGCUUGCGAGUUGCUUCUAGGACUUGGAAGGUCCUGAAGAACUAGGUUUUGGGGGAAUAUGUGUAUAUUUAUACUUUGUAUCUUACUGAGAAGAAUCUAGGUAUUAAAAUAUAUCCAUAGGAUUGCAUUUGGUUUUAUUUACUUUUGCCUUUUUUUUUUUUUUAAGGCCACACCUGUGGCAUACGGAGGUUCCCAGACUAGGGGUCCAACUGGAGCUGUAGCCACUGGCCUACACCACAGCCACAGCAAUGCAGGGUCGGAGCUGUGUCUGAAAUCUACACCACAGCUCACGGCAACACCAGACCCUUAACCCACUGAGAGAGGCCAGGGAUUGAACCCACGUCAUCAUGGAUGCUAGAUGGGUCGUUAACCGCUGAGCCACGAUGGGAACUCCUGGUUCUAUUUCUUCUUUUUUUUCUGCUUAAUAUUUUUAAAAGUUAUUUUAUUGAAGUAUAGUUGAUUCGCAAUGUUGUGUUAAUUUCUGCUGCACAGCAAAGUGAUUUAGUUAUACGUACAUGUAUAUAUAUUAUAUUCUUUUUCAUAGUCUUUGCCAUUAUGGCUUACCUCAGGAUAUUGACUGUAGUUCCCUGUACCACACAGUAGGAUCUUGUCGUUGAGAUUGUUUUGUUUUUAACUAAUGUUCUGGUUAAAAAUGAUGGGAGUUCCCGUUGUGGCGCAGUGGUUAAUGAAUCUGACUAGGAGCCAUGAGGUUGCGGGUUCGGUCCCUGCCCUUGCUCAGUGGGUUAACGAUCUGGCGUUGCUGUGAGCUGUGGUGUAGGUUGCAGAAGCGGCUCGGAUCCCGUGUUGCUGUGGCUCUGGCAUAGGCUGGUGGCUACAGCUCCGAUUCGACCCUAGCCUGGGAACUUCCAUAUGCCGUGGGAGCGGCCCAAGAAAUAGC